rnacentral:lncRNA from 13 species
CUCAAAUGAAAAAUUGCCACUCUGGUACCUAAAUCAACUAAUUAAUCCAUACUACAUUAAUUAUGAUGAUGAAAAGCUAAUCAUAGCUUAUUGGCCUAAAAACAAACGCAAGUGAAUGAGAGAGAUUUUCAGGGCUGGCUGGUGGCCCCAAUCCAACAUACUGCAAAAAUCUGCUGGAGGGACCAAGCAGAACUGAAUAGUGACUGCAGGUCAUGUUACCCAGGAGAAGAUUUUUGCUUCAGAGUACCUGUGGGUGGAAUCGUGUGGCUUAGAAUUUGCUGCUGUAAUCUUCUCCUCACCCCUUCCUGUGAUGAGGAGUGAUAGAAUGGCUUAGUGAGCACCUGGAGUCCAGCCAAGGUCAACUCCCCACAGUGUGAGGAUAAGAAAAACAUGCACAGAGGGAAAUGUUCCCUGUCUGUGCAAGUAGGAUACUUCCAAGAGCAUCAAGAGAGCAACUGUAGCACAAAUCCAGGGGAGAAGAGGUCUGGUAAGGUGAUGGUUGUUUUUUCUUCCAGUGUUUCACACACAUAUAUGUGAAUGUUGUGUGCACUUAUACAAAAA